AACCCUAAUUUCUUUCUCUCUCAGUCCCUCACUAUGUUUUCCUUCUUCUCUUGUCUCUGCCGCCGUGGUAUAAUGGUAUCUUCGUUCAUUCUUACUAGUUCAGAUUUGCCCAUUUUUCUUGUCAUCGUCUUCCCACUAUUUGCCUUCUUCAUCAUCUUUUCAUUUUAAUCUUUCUUUGGUAAAUAAUUUAUUUUCAUGUGCCAAGAUUUGAAGCUACAAAAUUUGGUUCUUCUUUGUUGAAGUUAAAUCUUACCAAAGUUGUGCUUUGAUUUCGAGGUUCAACAAAAAGAUGUAAUGAAGAAUGAUUCUUCUUUUAAGCUUUGAAAGAUAACUAAAGUGUUCUGAAAUUACAGGUCUUGAUAAGGUCUAGAUGAUUAUAACAGAGCAAGAUCUUUGAGUUAAUGGCUAGAGGAUUAUAACAGGAGGAUCAUAACAAAGCGUUACUUUUAUGUUUAUGGAUUUCGACAUUCUUGGUGACCAUGGUGGCUGAAUAUAGAUGCAAGUGAGAAAUUAUGAGUUUAAUGGAGAUUUGAAGUUUGACUCUUUGGUCAUGGGGCUGGAAGGAAUUUGUAAUCCAUUAAGGGAUUUGUUGUUGGCUAUUUACAAGUGCAUUUAUUGAUUGAAAGAUCCCUAAAACUUUAAGAAAAUUACAUAGAUUAAUGACCUUGAAAAGAAAAUUACAUGUUGCUCCAGGAAUUUACCAAACAAAAAUUACACAUAAACUUUAAUGUAUAUCAAAUAUGUGAAAGGUGUGCAUUCAUUUUGUCUUGAGAUAGGGGCUGGAAGUAAGAUAGCAGUGAAUAGAAUUUUCGUUGACUGUGUAAUGGAAUUUGUAAUCCAUUAAGGGAUUUGUUGUUGGCUAUUUACAAGUGCAUUUAUUGAUUUGAGUGUGUGAAGUUACUGCAUUUUAUUAAGCUCAAAAAUAUCUAUGGUUGUAUCAAAAUAUGAAUGCUCCAAAAUACUGUGUUGACUGUGUAAUGAAACUUGUAUGUUUAAAAUAGGAUAGU